CAUUCAUUAAUCAUACAUUCCCUAAUCUUAUGAAUAACUGCAUUGUUUCUUUCCAGAUAAACUGAUAUCUGAUUCUCCCAAGAAGACAUCAACAGCACAUAUGACAUCAUCAUCACUGCAAUACUGGUUCUCAGCCAAGUGUUUUCUCAUGUUAGCAAACAGAUGAUAGUCAGACGGUGCCAAUGCAGGAAAAAAUGGAGG